rnacentral:rRNA from 1 species
UACAGAGGGCCCAAGCGUUGUUCGGAAUUAUUGGGCGUAAAGGGUGCGUAGGCGGCGCGGUAAGUCGGGUGUGAAAUCUUGGAGCUUAACUCCGAAACUGCAUUCGAUACUGCCGUGCUUGAGGACUGGAGAGGAGACUGGAAUUUACGGUGUAGCGGUGAAAUGCGUAGAUAUCGUAAGGAAGACCAGUGGCGAAGGCGGGUCUCUGGACAGUUCCUGACGCUGAGGCACGAAGGUCAGGGGAGCAAACGGG